UACGUAGGAGACGAGCGUUGUCCGGAGUUACUGGGCGUAAAGGGUGCGCAGGCGGCCCGCCGCGUGUGGGGUAAAAUCUCCCGGCUCAACUGGGAGGGGGCCUUGCAGACGGGCGGGCUUGAGGGUCGCAGAGGGGCGUGGAAUUCUGUGUGGAGCGGUGAAAUGCGUUGAUCUACAGAGGAACACCAAAAAAGGCGAAGGCAGUCAACUAUUCUGUUCCUGACAUUGAGGCAUGAAAGCGUGGGGAGCAAACCGG
rnacentral:rRNA from 1 species